rnacentral:lncRNA from 1 species
GCUCUGGACAUGAAGCAAAGCUAACACUAGAGGGUGCUAUAGAUUAGGAAAUCCAGGGACCAUGGGCGCCGGAGCGCGUUCAAGACGCUGCCCUCCCGAUUGUAACCUAACAAACUGAGCGUGUCACUUUGCCAGAAUUUACCCCUUCACCAUUUCUGCUAUGAUGAAAUUAUCCAGAUAUGUUUAAUUUGAAAUUUUAACUUAGUCUGUGAUUAUGUGGAAUUUCAACACUGGCUGUGGCCCAGUGCAGUGGCUCACUCACACCUGUAAUCCCAGAGAAUUGCUUGAACCCUCAGGAGGCAGAGGUUGCAGUGAGCCGAGAUCACGCCACUGCACUCCAGUCCUGUCUAAAAAAAAAAAAAAAAAAAAAAAGGACUGAGCCCAGGUCUGUAGGAUAGACACUUUGUGUUUGUAUCUUAAGUACUUUGCGAUCUCACCCUUACAAACCUGAUACUAAAUUCCACUUACCUACUUCAGUCCUUCUCUGAGGGAAGGUGGAGUUUGGAGGCAAUUUUAGGAAGCAGGAUGAGGAAACAGGGAAGGUGACACAGUGAAGGACAAGCCAACACAAGGGUGGAUUACCAAGGCUGGUCCCCUCUACAGGCACCCAGGGCUCGGUCCCACGCGGACUGCUGAGUAGACAGAAGACCUUUCAGAAUCUUCUGCCUCUCCCCCAUUUGCUGAGAGUUCCCUGGGAACGGUAACCCCCGUACCUUCGGGCUGAACAUAUGUUUGCAUGCUGAAUGGGCUCUUUCUGCCAUCCCAUGCCACAGCAUUCAGGAAGCCCUGGGGCCAAAGCAAACAGCAUGCUUGAGGCAAGGUGCUGUGAGGCCCAAAUGAGCUGAAGCUUGCACAAAACUGCUCACCACUGCCAUAGCUGAAUCAGCGGAGGCCAGGAGGAUGCGAGGCGGUGCCCGUGAUUGUCUGAUCAUCUCCCUCUUGGACCGCUGAGACUCAGGCAUGCCCUGCAUCAAAUCCAACCUGUCACCAGGUCUUCAAGGGGGAGGCCUGCGGAAAUCCUACUGUGAAUGAAACUACAGUUGCUAUUCAUCGUCUCCCUCCUGCACCUACCACUCCAGAUGUCCCUCACUCUUGGCCAGCACUUUGGCUUGUUUAAGUUGUGUGCCAGGUGAGGUGACCACACCUUCCCCCCUGCAGUUUCUGAGUCUUUCCUGAGCUUUGUCUUGGUUGGCCCUUGGCUGCUGUGACUGCCUAUUUUAUCUAAUUGCAGGUUCAAGAUUCACCAAGAAGGCAGGGCGCAGUGGCUCACAUCUGUAAUCCCAGCACUUUGGGAGGCUGAAGCAGGCAGAUCACUUCAGCCCAGGAGUUUGAGACCAGCCUGGGCAACAGAGCAAGACCCCAUCUCUAAAGAAAAAUAAUUAUUCAGGUGUGGUGGCACAUGCCUGUAGUCCCAGCUACUCAGGAGGCGGAGGUGGGAGGAUCGCUUGAGCCCAGGAGGUUGAGGCUGCAGUGAGCCGUGAUUGCACCAUUGCACUCUAGCUGGGCAACAGAGCAAAACCCUGUCUCCAAAAAUAAUAAGUAAAUAAAUAAAUAAGAUACUAAGAGACAGCCCAGUGACUCUCCUGAGUCCCAAACAUACUCAUCCAUCCCUCAUGGAGAAACA